rnacentral:lncRNA from 1 species
ACGACAACAACAACAACAGGAACAACAACAACAAGAAGAAGAAGAAGAAGAAGAAGAAGAACAACAACAACAACAACAACGAUGACUACGACUAAGACGACAACAACGAGAAUGAUGAGAACGACAACAAUAAUAACAACAAUAACAAAAACGACAACAGCGACAGCAAUGUAGACAACAACACCCACACAACAAGAGCGACAAAAACAAUUACGACGGCGACGACGACGACAAC